GAUGAACGCUGGCGGCGUGCCUAAUACAUGCAAGUCGAGCGAACGGACGAGAAGCUUGCUUCUCUGAUGUUAGCGGCGGACGGGUGAGUAACACGUGGAUAACCUACCUAUAAGACUGGGAUAACUUCUGGAAACCGGAGCUAAUACCGGAUAAUAUUUUGAACCGCAUGGUUCAAAAGUGAAAGACGGUCUUGCUGUCACUUAUAGAUGGAUCCGCGCUGCAUUAGCUAGUUGGUAAGGUAACGGCUUACCAAGGCAACGAUGCAUAGCCGACCUGAGAGGGUGAUCGGCCACACUGGAACUGAGACACGGUCCAGACUCCUACGGGAGGCAGCAGUAGGGAAUCUUCCGCAAUGGGCGAAAGCCUGACGGAGCAACGCCGCGUGAGUGAUGAAGGUCUUCGGAUCGUAAAACUCUGUUAUUAGGGAAGAACAUAUGUGUAAGUAACUGUGCACAUCUUGACGGUACCUAAUCAGAAAGCCACGGCUAACUACGUA
rnacentral:rRNA from 1 species